UGCAACCAGUGGAGAGCAAAGACUGGGAAAGUGGAUCUGUGAUUGGUGGAGACUGGAGAGGGCGGGACGUGGAACUGAAGCGGUGAAAAUGAGAUUGAAUAUUGAUGGAUUAUUGGUGCAUUUUCCUUAUGAUUUCAUCUACCCUGAGCAGUAUUCCUACAUGUUGGAGCUGAAGAGGAUUCUUGAUGCUAAGGGACAUGGGGUCUUGGAAAUGCCAUCGGGCACAGGGAAGACUGUGUCACUGCUUUCACUGAUUGUGGCCUAUCAGAUGAUGUAUCCAACAGAAGUGACUAAGCUGAUCUACUGCUCCCGAACAGUUCCUGAGAUAGAGAAGGUCAUUGAGGAGCUUCGGAAGCUGCUCAGUUAUUACGAGAAACAGUCUGGCGAGAAGGUCCAGUUCUUGGCUCUGGCUCUGAGCUCCAGGAAGAAUCUCUGCAUCCACCCAGAGGUCAGUUCUCAGAGGUUUGGAAAGGAGGUUGAUGGCAAAUGUCGCAGCCUGACUGCAUCACACAUCAGAUUGCAGCACUCCAGCAAUCCCACUGUGCCCAUCUGCCAGUUCUAUGAGGAGUUUGAUCUCCAUGGGAAACAAGUUCCGCUAACUUCUGGAAUUUAUAACCUGGAUGACUUGAAAAUUUAUGGAAAGCAGAAGGGAUGGUGUCCAUAUUUCUUGGCCAGAUACUCUAUUCUGCAUGCAAACAUCAUUGUGUACAGUUAUCACUACCUACUGGACCCCAAGAUUGCAGACCUGGUCUCCAAGGAGCUGUCACGGAAAUCUGUGGUGGUAUUUGAUGAGGCUCACAAUAUUGACAAUGUAUGCAUUGACUCAAUGAGUGUGAACAUUACCCGACGCAUGUUAGACCAAUGUCAGAACAACAUUGAAACAUUACAAAAGACCAUCCAACAUAUAAAGGAAACAGAUGCUGCCAAACUGAAAGAAGAAUACAGACAGUUGGUGGAGGGACUUAAAGAAGCUCACAUUGCCAGAGAAACAGAUGUCUAUUUAGCCAAUCCUGUACUGCCAGAUGAAAUUCUACAAGAGUCUGUUCCUGGUAAUAUUCGUACAGCUGAACAUUUUGUUGGGUUUAUGAAGCGAUUUGUGGAAUAUCUGAAGUCCCGCCUCCGAGUACACCAUGUGGUAGCUGAGAACCCGCCCUCUUUCUUGAAAGAUGUCUUUGAUAAAGUCUGCAUUGAACGCAAACCUCUCAGGUUCUGCUCAGAGAGGUUGCGGUCUUUGCUGCAGACACUGGAAAUUGCUGAUCUCAGCAACUUUUCACCUAUUAUACUUGUCUCGAACUUCGCUACGUUGGUCAGCACUUACGCCAAAGGUUUCACCAUCAUCAUGGAACCUUUUGAUGACAAGACUCCAACAAUUAUUAAUCCAAUACUCCACUUCAGCUGCAUGGACCCAUCCAUUGCCAUCAAGCCUGUGUUUGAGCGAUUCCAAUGUGUGAUUAUCACCUCAGGGACCUUGUCGCCACUUGACAUGUACCCAAAGAUCCUCGAUUUCAGACCUGUUAUCAUGGCAACAUUUACUAUGACCUUGUCAAGAACCUGCCUUUGUCCACUGAUUGUGGGACGAGGCAACGACCAGGUGACGAUCAGCUCCAAGUUUGAAACGAGAGAGGAUAUCGCUGUCAUCCGUAACUAUGGUAACCUGUUGCUGGAGAUGUCAGCCAUUGUCCCAGAUGGAAUUGUGUCUUUCUUCACUAGUUACCAUUACAUGGAGAACAUCGUAGCCUCCUGGUAUGAGCAGGGAAUUCUAGAAAAUAUUCAACGUAACAAACUUAUAUUUAUUGAAACUCAGGAUGCUGCAGAGACCAGUGUGGCCCUAGAGAAAUACCAGGAGGCAUGUGAGAACGGACGAGGGGCCAUCCUACUGUCUGUCGCGAGAGGAAAGGUCUCCGAGGGGAUAGAUUUUGUCCAUCAUUAUGGGAGGGCGGUCAUUAUGUUUGGUGUUCCCUAUGUCUAUACUCAGAGCAGGAUUCUGAAGGCCCGCUUAGAAUAUAUCCGGGAUCAGUUCCAAAUCCGGGAAAAUGAUUUCCUGACGUUUGAUGCCAUGAGGCAUGCUGCUCAAUGUGUAGGAAGAGUCAUUCGAGGAAAAACUGAUUACGGGCUCAUGAUUUUUGCAGACAAGCGCUUUGCUCGAGCUGAUAAACGGGGGAAGCUGCCUCGCUGGAUUCAGGAACACAUCACGGACAGUAACCUCAAUCUCACUGUAGAUGAAGCAGCGCAAAUAGCCAAGUACUUCCUACGACAGAUGGCACAGCCUUUCCAACAGGAGGAUCAAUUGGGAUUGUCACUGCUCUCACUGGAUCAGCUCGAAUCUGAGGAGAUACUCAGCAGAAUCCAGCAGAUCUCUCACCAAGUGUGAAGGGAGGAUGGGCAGGACGUGCUUGAAUGCCAACACAGAGCCUUCCACCUACAAUAUUUGCAACAGCCUGAGCUCCUGCUUGAGUGGUGACUCCCUACACUCUGCAGGAGGCAGAAUUUGCACAGUUGCCUGAGGCUGUUAGUAGCAGGAGGGGAAAGGCAGGGUCAAUCUGUGUCCUCUGCAGAUGCUGCCAAACUUGCUGAAUUCCUCCCGUAUUCUCUUUUUGUUACAGUACUUUAUAUGGUUAGUCCAGUUCAGUUUCGAGCCAGUGGUAACCCCAGGAUGUUGCGGGUGGGGGAUUCAGUGAUUGUAAUACCAUUGAAUGUCAAGAAAUAAUGAUUAUAUUCUCUCUUGUUAGAGAGACUCAUUGCCUGGCAUUGGUGUGGUGUGACUGUUACUUGCUACUCAUCAGCCCAAGCCCGGAUAUUGUCCAAAUCUUACUUCAGCAACUGAGCAGUUAUGAAUGGUGUUGAAGAAUGUGGGAUUGUUGAGGAAGUACCUACUUCUGACCUUAUGUUGGGGGGGGAAGCUCAUUGAUGAAGCAGCUGGAGAUGGUUGAGUCUACAACACUACCCUGAGGAACACCUGCACCUGUGGAAAGUUUGACAUUCCUAUUGGAAUUUUCCUUGGGCUGCUUAAUGCCACAUAUGGGGAAAUGUUGCCUAGAUGGUCACUGCAGUUGCUCUCACUUCCCCUCCACAACAAAUGAGUCGAGGUUUUGAUAGAGCAUGAAGUUAGCAAUCCCUUCACCUACACUUGGCUAGUGGUGGAAUCUGGACCCAUUCUCACUUCUUCCAGCUGCCCUCUCUGCCACCUAGAGAACAGAGAGCACUGACAGACCAUAAUCACAGUGGACAGCAAGCACAAGUGGUACCUACGUCAAUCUUGGAAGUCAGCAGCCUGCAACUUCCUCAGUCCUGAAGGUAUCCCCAACCUCACCUGAGUCUUGUACCCUUCUCCCUCUGGAGAUAUUGCACCUUUUAGGGGCAGUAUUACACAGGUGUUCCUGCCCUUACAUAACUUACUCAUGGCUAGGUGCUAUGAGGGAGUCGGUUUGAUUUGAUGAUGUAGUGUGCAGAGCUAAACAGGGACAGCUACUGUCACUUUAUAACCCAGGGGCUCAGCUGGGACAUCCUGUCCCAAGACUGCAAUCAACUCCCCCCUCCCCAUCCCAAACACAGCACAGACCUGAGCAAGGGCAGCCCAGAUCACCCCACGGCAGAUUAUUGUCUAACUGGUCAAUGGUUGAGGAUUAUUGAAGGAUUAGGAACUUCAAACAUUUUUAAACAGGGAACUUCACCUGAUUUCUGCCCUGACUCGCUGACACAGAGGCCUGACGGUUAGUAUGGAGAAAGCUUUGUGUGAGUGGACACAGUUGGCCAGCUCUCACCUUCCCCCAGCUCAGACCAUUGUGAACUGUUUUGUUCCGUGACUGCUUUCACAGUGUCUGCUUGCCUGUGAAAUUUGUGAGGUUAACCCUGCGUUUCAUGUACGUCUUUCCAUUCUUUUUUAUUGUUUCAUUUCACUUGUUGUGAAGCUCAAGUCGUUAGACAAAGUGAUGCUUAUUCCCAACGUUUACUCUGAGCGUGGUGGUUACUCUAAUAGAGCUGUGCUCGGAGAGGUCAUUGCUGAGGGCGGGGGUUUUGGGGCUUUAGUCAGAUCAGGGAGAUUUUCUGACCUGUGGAGCUGUUGCUUCUCCUUCCGCACAGCUUUCUCGGGUUUGAAAUCUGCCUUUGAGUGAUGUCCCUGCACGGCUUCAGGAACCCAACGGGAAGCAGACACCUCAGCAGAGGGGAAAAAGAAGUCGAUUCCCUCAAGAGUUUGCACGUUCUCCCCGUGUCUGCGUGGGUUUCCUCCGGGUGCUCCGGUUGCCUCCCACAGUCCAAAGGCGUGCAGGUUAGGGUGGAUUGGCCUUGCUACAUUGCCCGUAGUGUUCAGGGGUG